UUCGGGGUGGAUUUGGGGGCAUUUUUGGGGUAUUUUGGGGCACUUUGGGUGAAUUUUGGGGCUUUUUGGGGCAUUUGGGGGCUUUUAGGGCAAAUUUUUGGGGUACUUUGGGGCAUUUUGGGGCACCUUUGGGGGAUUGGGGUUCAUUUUUGGGGUAUUUUGGGGGCAUUUUGGGGCUUUUAGGGGAAAUUUUGGGGGUAUUUUGGGGCAUUUUGGGGCACCUUUGGGGGAUUGGGGUUCAUUUUUGGGGUAUUUUGGGGGCAUUUUGGGGCUUUUAGGGCAAAUUUGGGGGCAUUUUGGGGUAUUUUGAGGUUUUUAGGGUAAAUUUGGGGGAUUUGGGGUGGAUUUGGGGGCAUUCUGGGGGUAUUUUGGGGCACUUUGGGUGAAUUUUGGGGCUUUUUGGGGCAUUUGGGGGCUUUUAGGGCAAAUUUUUGGGGUACUUUGGGGCAUUUUGGGGCUUUUAGGGAAAAUUUUUGGGGUAUUUCGGGGCAUUUUGGGGCACCUUUGGGGGAUCUGGGGAUCAUUUUUGGGGUAUUUUGGGGGUAUUUUGGGGUAUUUUGGGGCUUUUAGGGUAAAUUUGGGGGGCAUUUUGGGUGGAUUUGGGGGCAUUUUUGGGGUAUUUUGGGGCUUUUAGGGCAAAUUUGGGGGCAUUUUUGGGGUAUUUUGGGGU
ensembl:lncRNA